rnacentral:misc_RNA from 1 species
AGUUGACCAACCACACCCCUAACAUGUGUUUCCUUGUGAUUUGGGUCUAGCAUGGGAGGAAGCAUGGUCAAAGUCAUUCAGUUCCGCUAUCAUUAUUAUAUCAAUAGUAAUCUAGUUAGUGUCAGACAAUACGAUAAUGAUGCCCUUUUAGCCAAAACAAGCAUGUUUUAUUUAUCACAUUUUCUUGCUAUCGUGUUAUCACACUAACUAUCAAAUCUAUCAUUAAUGCUCCAAUGAUCCGAGCUCAAGAUAGAAUAAUUUAUGCUAUAG